UCGAGAAUUUUUCGCAAUGGGGGAAACCCUGACGGAGCGACGCCGCGUGGAGGAUGAAGGUCUUCGGAUUGUAAACUCCUGUCAUUUGAGAACAAGUAACACCUAGUAACUACAGGUGUUUUGAUAGUAUCAGAAGAGGAAGAGGCGGCUAACUCUGUGCCAGCAGCCGCGGUAAUACAGAGGCCUCAAGCGUUGUUCGGAUUCAUUGGGCGUAAAGGGAGCGUAGGCGGUCUGGUAAGUCGGGUGUGAAAUCCUGGGGCUCAACCCCAGAACGGCAUUCGAUACUGCUGGGCUUUGAGGAAUGGAGGGGAGAUUGGAAUUCACGGUGUAGCAGUGAAAUGCGUAGAUAUCGUGAGGAAGACCAGUGGCGAAGGCGGAUCUCUGGACAUUACCUGACGCUGAUGCUCGAAGGCCAGGGGAGCAAACGG
rnacentral:rRNA from 1 species